GCCUGAUCUGUCUGGCAAGGAAGGGCCAGCUACAAGAUUUCAUGUAGCCCCAGUGGGCAAGGGGAUGGUAAAUCAAUGGAAGCACCAGCCCAGCUUUCCUGAGGAUGUCGUGAUGGAGAUUGUGGGGAUGGGCCUUAGAAGUGGGUAUUUUCACAUUGCCCACAGGGAAGGGGAACUGCUAGUGUGCUCAGGCCCUGGUCUGUUGGCCCAGCCUGGAGCUCUUGAGCUGGCUUAUGCCCUGAAGGUUCCCUGGCAGGAGCCCAAAGGCUCAGUGCAGACCCGAAGCACUUUCUGCCCCACUCUGGGGGGAUUUCCCCUCCUCCUUCCCUAGGCUCAGCCUCAGGAUUGCCUGACAUGGGUCUGGCGCACAUCUGUGGACAGGGAAUUGGCUUAUAUUAAGUGGGAGGAGAAUGUGCCCCCUUGCCUUGGCAGAAGCAUCUUUGUGUGCCCACUCCCUUUGCCCAAUCCUCGCUGCCCCCUGCCUGCAGUGAGCACAGCCCUCUUCUCACCCCCCAUGUUUGAGUUUACUGGACCCAGGUAUGGAGCCUCCUGUUGUCUAAUGGGAAAGCCUAGGAAAUAAAGUGCCCAACCUGGUCGAUUCGCCUGGGGCCCUCACCUUCUUCUGCCGGCUCUGGGAAAGGGGUGUGGGUGUUCCCUUGUGUGUGUAGGGUGUGUGUCUGUGUAGGGGUGUGUGCCUACAUGCAUGCAUGCACACACAGUCUUUACAUGUGUGUGAACAUGUCUGUACUAUGCAUGUUUGCAUGUGUCUGCUGAUGUGUGCAUGUUUGUGUGUUCCUUUGCUUGUGUGUGUGUGGUGGAAGGUCGAAGGAGUAGACUGAGCUAAUUUAACCUGCUUUUAGGCUCUCUGUUCUCAGGACGUCCCACCCCCAGCUCCAGGAUUCUUGAUCCCAUUAGAUUGGGUCCAUUCCAGCUGCCUCCCAGUGAUCCAAGCAGCCGGUGUGACCUAAAGCCUCCUUACCAGCUCUGCAGACCAUUUCCCUCUUCCCUUUCUCUGAGAGAGGCUCACAAGUUAUACUGACUUAACCCAUCAGAUACCUGCUCAGCUACAGCUCAUUGGAUAGAUGCAUCCCUAAAGGAGCUCCCAGAGUGGUUGACAGCUGAGGAGACUGAAGCUUGGAGAGGGGGGAGCCCGAAUUCUCAGAGGUCACCUCGCCCAAAGAUCCCAGAGCUGAGCCCAGAUCCCACGUCUCCUGAAAGCCAGGUCCACUGUUCUGCUUUCUCCUGAAGGCACUCUGGAAACUCCCAAAGGACCACAUUAUGGGAUUUUGCACAGGAAGGAGCCUUGGAGAUCAUCUAUUGCCAUCCCUUCAUUUCUUGGAGAGGGUGUUUUUUGGCUCCAUGACAAGCACGUGUGAGAGACUUUGGGGGAUGGGGUGGGGGAGGGAAGGAAGGGCCUGUCAGUACCUUCUAAGUUGGCAGUGCUCAGAAUCUGGGAGGAUGAGUCACUUCCCAGGGAGCUGAUGCCCCCAUUCUUACCCAAGGGCCCAGGGCCAUCCCCUGGACUCUACCUUCUCUUUGAAGCUGCUCGGGGGCUGUCCCACAUCCCCUUUCUGGUUUGGACCUCAUGCCCAUCUGUAAUCUGUCCUGGUGAGGCUUCAUGGAAAAAGAUCUGAGUAUUCAAGAGGAGAUAGGUCUCUGUCUUCUCCCACCACUUCUGGUUUACUUUGGGGGUCUGUUCUUCAGUCCCUUUCCGUUCCCAAAGCAAGGGCUACACUCUGCCUGUGGUCUCCCCACUCCUACCCGAGGACUUAGGGGAAAUUGAGCUGGUGUUUCCAGCUAGGCUGAUCCUAUCUACACAGGGUCCCCUGACUGGCUUCCCCAGUCAUCUCCUCCACCUCUUCCCCCCUCCCCUUGCUUCCUGUCAGCACCACUUCCCUCCUUCCCUGAAACUGCUCCCUGGGCUGACUUGGCCUGCUGACUAAUCUCUACUCCACCCCAGCUGUGUUGGCCACUAGGAGUUUCCUGGAAGGGACUCUAGGGGCCCAGGGCCCUCUGGCUGUCAGGCCCCAGGGGGGUGCCAUAUCUUGGCCUGGGCUAUUUCCUUGAAAGCACCCUAUACCCAGGGGAAUUGUCAUAAACAGUUUAUAUAUUCUAUAUCACUCUAAGGUUUAGAAAGCAAAAUUUUUUUUAUAAUUACUAGUUGAUGGAUGAGGAAACCAAGAUUGAGAGAGGAUAAGGAAGGUCCAUGUUCACAUAGCCUGAGCCAGAGGUGGAACUCUCACCCAGAUCUGGUUUGAGUUCUGGCCCUUUAGACCCCAAAUCCAGGGUUCUCUAUCUGCUGCACCAGAUCAGUACUCAAAUCCGAUGAUCUGGCUGGGGAAUUCCUAGAGGGGCUUGUGGGCACCCUCUGAGUUUCCGAUGGGUGAUGGGACGAGGAUGUGGUUUCUUAGUUUGGAGCUCUGACCUUGUUGCCCAGAGCCUAGAGGAAUGGUAGGCCGGAAGGUGGCUGCAUGCCAGCCCCUAGCCCGAAAAAAGAAAGGUCCCAGGGGCCAGGGCCAGAUGUGGGCAGCCAAGAAUGAUAGGGGCCUUAAGGCACUGUACCACCACCACCACCACCACCACCACCAUGCCUCUACCCCAAGCCUUCCACCAGGGUCUGUCUGUUUGUCUCCUGUCAAGUCCAUCCUUGAUUACAUCCUCAGCCUCUGCUGUGUCCCUUUGCUCUCAUCUUGCUCAUGCCCAGGGAAGAGGGGGUAUCCAGAAGCCUUAACCCAUGUGCCUCGGGGGCCCAGGAAGCCAGUUGGGAUCUUCUUUAUUGCUUGGACCACCAGUUGCUGGAUGGGAGCUUGGAUCCCUGGGGGCUUGGCCAAGAAGAAGGUCUCUAAGCAAUUCCUUCACUUGUGGUCCUUGGCCUGCUCCUGGUCAAGUGCUGGUCCUGAAGUCCAAGGGGUUGCCUGUGUUUGUGACUGUCAAUGUGAGCAUGGCAGUGUGUCACUAUGGAUGCACCCUGACAGUGUCAGAGGUUGGCACUGUGCCACCAGGCAUGCGGCCUUCCGCUAAGGGCAGGUGCCCUGGUAACAUCAUCAAAGUGUUCACUUCCAGGGAUUGCAUGAUGGGACCAGUGAAGAUAAGGGUGGCAUAGCCAGCUCAAACCUAUUUGGAGGAUGAGCCUUUACUCUGCUCCAGGAAGUCUAGGUUAGGGGGUGCUGAGCUGGCGACCCCCAGGGGUCUGAGGCAGUAGCAGCAAGGAGGCCUAAGGAAGAAGGUAAGGGGGAACAGUGAAGGGUGGGGGAAUUGGCCAGACACUCUGAUUCCCCCACACUCUAGAGGCCUUCAGGGUUUCAUCCUGUUGCUUUUAUCCUACCUCGGACGUUGACUUAGCAAAGUGACCAAGGACAUGUAAAAUGAACAUAAUAAAAGCAUCUACCUCA